rnacentral:rRNA from 1 species
GAUGAACGCUGGCGGCGUGCCUAAUACAUGCAAGUCGAGCGAACGGAUUAAGAGCUUGCUCUUAUGAAGUUAGCGGCGGACGGGUGAGUAACACGUGGGUAACCUGCCCAUAAGACUGGGAUAACUCCGGGAAACCGGGGCUAAUACCGGAUAACAUUUUGAACCGCAUGGUUCGAAAUUGAAAGGCGGCUUCGGCUGUCACUUAUGGAUGGUCCCGCGUCGCAUUAGCUAGUUGGUGAGGUAACGGCUCACCAAGGCAACGAUGCGUAGCCGACCUGAGAGGGUGAUCGGCCACACUGGGACUGAGACACGGCCCAGACUCCUACGGGAGGCAGCAGUAGGGAAUCUUCCGCAAUGGACGAAAGUCUGACGGAGCAACGCCGCGUGAGUGAUGAAGGCUUUCGGGUCGUAAAACUCUGUUGUUAGGGAAGAACAAGUGCUAGUUGAAUAAGCUGGCACCUUGACGGUACCCAACCAGAAAGCCACGGCUAACUACGUGCCAGCAGCCGCUGUAA